rnacentral:rRNA from 1 species
AGUGAACGCUGGCGGUAGGCCUAACACAUGCAAGUCGAACGGCAGCACAGUAAGAGCUUGCUCUUACGGGUGGCGAGUGGCGGACGUGUGAGGAAUACAUCGGAAUCUACUUUUUCGUGGGGGAUAACGUAGGGAAACUUACGCUAAUACCGCAUACGACCUACGGGUGAAAGCAGGGGAUCUUCGGACCUUGCGCGAUUGAAUGAGCCGAUGUCGGAUUAGCUAGUUGGCGGGGUAAAGGCCCACCAAGGCGACGAUCCGUAGCUGGUCUGAGAGGAUGAUCAGCCACACUGGAACUGAGACACGGUCCAGACUCCUACGGGAGGCAGCAGUGGGGAAUAUUGGACAAUGGGCGCAAGCCUGAUCCAGCCAUACCACGUGGGUGAAGAAGGCCUUCGGGUUGUAAGGCCCUUUUGUUGGGAAAGAAAAGCAGCAGGUUAAUACCCCGCUGUUCUGACGGUACCCAAAGAAUAAGCACCGGCUAACUUCGUG